AAAUUGUUCCCUUCUCUUAUCCCUUUGUUGAGCUCAAGCUCAGCUGCAAUGGCAGCAAUGUAUGAAUGCUAAGAGGUAUUUUAAUAGUAACCACCAUUUUUCUGCUUUUCGCUCGAGGACUAGACUUGGAUGAACCUCGUUAAAUACUUGUAUUAGGUUUUUUUGAGUUAAUGGCAAAAAACACAUUUGAACUAUCACUUUUUUCGCUAGUUCUCAGUAAAAAAUGGGACAAAUGAUAGUUGAAGUGUGAAACUCGCGAAAAGUGAUGGUUCAAAUGUGUUUUUGACCAUUAUCUCUAUUUGCUUUGGUUGUGUGACUAUGUGCUAGUUAACCCCCGAUCUUCUGCAAUAGGUACUCAUGGCGCCACCAAAUUGUCUACUUAGCUGAACGCGGCUACCGAGGCAUAGACCUGACUUAAGGGGUUAUGGAGAUACUACAGUUGCACUCGUUAACGACGUUUCAAAGUUCACCAUCUUUCAAAUUAUUGCAACUCUAUAUAUCCGGUGAUUCGCAGCCAUGAGGAAGUAGCUAAACACAGCACCAGCAGAGCAUACAAAGGCAAUGGCAUCCGUAGUAACAAAUGCACGGAAUGCUGAUUUUUUCGUCAGAAUCGCCAUUCCUUUGUUAGGAUUAUCGCAGUUAUUCUCGAAACCUCCCGGUAAUGUGAAACCGGUCGCGAAUGUGACCCGUCACUAGCAGUGUGGCCACAACUAGAUGUAUUUGAGUUGCAUUCAUAGUUUCUUUGACUUUUGUUUCAGCAUCAGCUGAAGUCAUCCUCCUACGACGUAUGGCCGGAUGACCUCAACUACCUACCUCUUCCUCCUGUCAGAGCUAUCUAACCUCUGUUGUCUUGCUAGCUCCGAGUACUUCAUUUACCCUUCAUGCAAAACCAUUAUAUAGAAAAAGGAUGAAUCUCCAAAGUACAAAUCUAAAGUAUCACUAUUUGCCUUUGACUAAAAGAAAGGCAUUUGUUAUUUGCCUUGAUUGGAAGAAAGGG
rnacentral:lncRNA from 1 species